rnacentral:tRNA from 1 species
GAGGGUAUAGUUCAAAUGGUAAAGCACAUGCUUAGCGUGCAUGAGUUCCUAGGUUCAGCCCCCAGUACCUCUA